rnacentral:rRNA from 1 species
CACGUAGGGGCCAAGCGUUGUCCGGAUUCAUUGGGCGUAAAGAGCUCGUAGGCGGUCUGUUGCGUCCGCUGUGAAAACCCGGGGCUUAACCCCUGGCUUGCAGUGGAUACGGACAGACUAGAGGUAGGUAGGGGAGAAUGGAAUUCCCGGUGUAGCGGUGAAAUGCGCAGAUAUCGGGAGGAACACCGGUGGCGAAGGCGGUUCUCUGGGCCUUACCUGACGCUGAGGAGCGAAAGCGUGGGGAGCGAACAGG